rnacentral:rRNA from 1 species
GACGAACGCUGGCGGCGUGCUUAACACAUGCAAGUCGAACGGAAAGGCCCUGCUUUUGUGGGGUGCUCGAGUGGCGAACGGGUGAGUAACACGUGAGUAACCUGCCCUUGACUUUGGGAUAACUUCAGGAAACUGGGGCUAAUACCGGAUAGGAGCUCCUGCUGCAUGGUGGGGGUUGGAAAGUUUCGGCGGUUGGGGAUGGACUCGCGGCUUAUCAGCUUGUUGGUGGGGUAGUGGCUUACCAAGGCUUUGACGGGUAGCCGGCCUGAGAGGGUGACCGGCCACAUUGGGACUGAGAUACGGCCCAGACUCCUACGGGGGGCAGCAGUGGGGAAUAUUGCACAAUGGGCGGAAGCCUGAUGCAGCAACGCCGCGUGCGGGAUGACGGCCUUCGGGUUGUAAACCGCUUUCGCCUGUGACGAAGCGUGAGUGACGGUAAUGGGUAAAGAAGCACCGGCUAACUACGUGCCAGCAGCCGCGGUGAUACGUAGGGUGCGAGCGUUGUCCGGAUUUAUUGGGCGUAAAGGGCUCGUAGGUGGUUGAUCGCGUCGGAAGUGUAAUCUUGGGGCUUAACCCUGAGCGUGCUUUCGAUACGGGUUGACUUGAGGAAGGUAGGGGAGAAUGGAAUUCCUGGUGGAGCGGUGGAAUGCGCAGAUAUCAGGAGGAACACCAGUGGCGAAGGCGGUUCUCUGGGCCUUUCCUGACGCUGAGGAGCGAAAGCGUGGGGAGCGAACAGGCUUAGAUACCCUGGUAGUCCACGCUGUAAACGGUGGGUACUAGGUGUGGGGUCCAUUCCACGGGUUCCGUGCCGUAGCUAACGCUUUAAGUACCCCGCCUGGGGAGUACGGCCGCAAGGCUAAAACUCAAAGGAAUUGACGGGGCCCCGCACAAGCGGCGGAGCAUGCGGAUUAAUUCGAUGCAACGCGUAGAACCUUACCUGGGUUUGACAUGGAUCGGGAGUGCUCAGAGAUGGGUGUGCCUCUUUUGGGGUCGGUUCACAGGUGGUGCAUGGCUGUCGUCAGCUCGUGUCGUGAGAUGUUGGGUUAAGUCCCGCAACGAGCGCAACCCUUGUUCACUGUUGCCAGCACGUUAUGGUGGGGACUCAGUGGAGACCGCCGGGGUCAACUCGGAGGAAGGUGGGGAUGACGUCAAGUCAUCAUGCCCCUUAUGUCCAGGGCUUCACGCAUGCUACAAUGGCUGGUACAGAGAGUGGCGAGCCUGUGAGGGUGAGCGAAUCUCGGAAAGCCGGUCUCAGUUCGGAUUGGGGUCUGCAACUCGACCUCACGAAGUCGGAGUCGCUAGUAAUCGCAGAUCAGCAACGCUGCGGUGAAUACGUUCCCGGG